CGAAUGCACACUAUAAAUUUGCCUUACUUUGACUUUAGCUCUGCUAUUAGAAACCAUCUAGGUCAGAAUAUUUAAAAAGUAAAUAAACUUUACGAAAAGUACUUCAACACAGUGGAGAAUAUACCAGAUUUCUUAAUUUAAUCAUUGCCAAAUAAUACCCGCUUACAAUGGAUAUGUUCAAGCCUAUGUCAUGGUAUAUUGGCAGCGAGUGGACAAUGCCUCGAAAGGGGUUGCGCAAACAUGUACUCUCUUUGGACAAUUUCAAGCAUUUGGAUAAACCGCAUUUGGUCUCUAAGGUUACAUUAAAGGUGGAGGAAGUACAUAAUUUGAAUGAACGUAAAAGUCGACACUUGGCCAAUGAAGUACUUGGUCUCGAGCAACUACUUGAAAUGGGUAAUGCGCUUACGCCGGUUGACUACUAUGUAGAACUGCUUGUGCGUCAAUUUGUAGUGGGUGAACGGGCUCGUUGCUUUAUUACUACAAAACGAGAAGAAAUAAGUUUUAUAAUGUCCCUGGUAAGCAUACAUGAAACAAAAGAAAUACAAAAACUAAGCGUGGCAGAAAUUUACUCGCUAGCGUUGCGUUACAAAGAAAACGGUGUGACUAUGUUCAAGCAAUACCCACUCUUUGCGCACGACUAUUUCUCACGUGCUGCCAAGUGCUUGAUCUCGUAUAAACCUCACGAUAGCUUGCCUGCAUGUAUGGAUGGUGUGUCCGGUAAGAAUAUACAAAUGCUGUUCACCCAAAUACAAACAAAUUUGGCAGCUUGCUUGUUGUCUCAACACCGUUAUGAAGAUGUAAUAUAUCAAACAAAGUUUGUUGAAGAACAAUCGGAUGCAUCAGAAAAGAGUAUAUAUAGACGAGCAAUGGCAUUAUACCACCUUAAAGAAUUUGAAAAAGCAAGGCACACCAUCGAACAUAUUCGGAAUUAUCAAGAGAAAAAGGAAUUCGCCAAACUACAUCAACGCAUAACGGAAAGUUGGAAGUCUAGUAAUAAACAAUAUAAAAAUUUAGUAAAGCGCAUGUUUACCUAAACUUCGUUGAAAGCAUUUAUUAAAAAGAAGGAUGUAAACUUGAUAUAAUGUGUUGACGUCGUGUGAUGUGUUAAAAUAAAAACUAAGUCUCAAUUUUGUGCAAAAGUUAUGAAAAUUCUACAAAUUUACACCAAAACUUUAAUCAGAAUUCUUAUUGUG